rnacentral:sRNA from 12 species
AAUCGGUGUACGAUACCGGGGACUUGUCCCCACCAUUGAGCCGAGGGGAACGAGCCUCAGUAACAGCAUCCUUACAGGGUGGAAAACUGAAAAAGCAAACGGAGGGUGGAGUUUGGUAGGUUUCCUUAUCGGAUUCUCGAAGAAGUCAGGCCCG